AUUGAACGCUGGAGGCAGGCCUAACACAUGCAAGUCGAACGAGUGGCGGACGGGUGAGUAAUGUCUGGGAAACUGCCUGAUGGAGGGGGAUAACUACUGGAAACGGUAGCUAAUACCGCAUACCAUCGGAUGUGCCCAGAUGGGAUUAGCUAGUAGGUGGGGUAAAGGCUCACCUAGGCGACGAUCCCUAGCUGGUCUGAGAGGAUGACCAGACACACUGGAACAGAGACACGGUCCAGACGCCGACGGGAGGGAACAGUGGGGAAUAUUGAACAAUGGGCGCAAGCCUGAUGCAGCCAUGCCGCGUGUAUGAAGAAGGCCUUCGGGUUGUAAAGUACGUUCAGCGAGGAGGCGUUACCCGCAGAAGAAGCACCGGCUAACUCCGUGCCAGCAGCCGCGGUAAUUC
rnacentral:rRNA from 1 species